rnacentral:rRNA from 1 species
UACGAGGGGGGCGAGCGUUGUUCGGAAUUAUUGGGCGUAAAGGGUGUGUAGGCGGUUCCGCAAGUCCUGUGUGAAAUCUUCGGGCUCAACUCGAAGUCUGCACGGGAAACUGCGGGGCUUGAGUGUGGGAGAGGUGAGUGGAAUUCCUGGUGUAGCGGUGAAAUGCGCAGAUAUCAGGAGGAACACCGGUGGCGAAGGCGGUUCUCUGGGCCUGUACUGACGCUGAGGAGCGAAAGCGUGGGGAGCGAACAGG